rnacentral:rRNA from 1 species
AUUGAACGCUGGCGGCAGGCCUAACACAUGCAAGUCGAGCGGAUGAAGGGAGCUUGCUCCUGGAUUCAGCGGCAGACGGGUGAGUAAUGCCUAGGAAUCUGCCUGGUAGUGGGGGAUAACGUCCGGUAACGGGCGCUAAUACUGCAUACGUCUUGAGGGAGAAAGUGGGGGAUCUUCGGACCUCACGCUAUCAGAUGAUCCUAGGUCGGAUUAGCUAGUUGGUGGGGUAAAGGCCUACCCAGGCGACGGUCCGUAACUGGUCUGAGAGGAUGAUCAGUCACACUGGAACUGAGACACGGUCCCGACGCCUACGGGAGGCAGCAGUGGGGAAUAUUGGACAAUGGGCGAAAGCCUGAUCCAGCCAUGCCGCGUGUGUGAAGAAGGUCUUCGGAUUGUAAAGCACUUUAAGUUGGGAGGAAGGGCAGUAAGUUAAUACCUUGCUGUUUUGACGUUACCAGCAGAAUAAGCACCGGCUAACUUCGUG